AUUGAACGCUGGCGGCAGGCCUAACACAUGCAAGUCGAACGAGUGGCGGACGGGUGAGUAAUGUCUGGGAAACUGCCCGAUGGAGGGGGAUAACUACUGGAAACGGUAGCUAAUACCGCAUACCAUCGGAUGUGCCCAGAUGGGAUUAGCUUGUAGGUGAGGUAACGGAUCACCUAGGCGACGAUCCCUAGCUGGUCUGAGGGGAUGACCAGCCAGACUGGAACUGAGCCACGGUCCAGCCGCGUACGUGAGGCAGCAGGGGGGAAUAUGGCACAAUGGGUGGAAGACUGACGCAGCCAUGCCGCGGGUAUGAAGAAGGCCUUCGGGUUUUAAAGUACUUUCAGCGGGGGGGCGUUAUCCGCAGAAGAAGCACCGGCUAACUCCGUGCCAGCAGCCGCGGUAAUUC
rnacentral:rRNA from 1 species